UUGCUUAAAGCAACAUAAAAAAUGAGAAAGCAAUCUUCCUUCUCAUUAUGAUUUUUCUUUAUUUCUUUCUUUUAUCAUUUUUGUACAUCUAUGCCAUUGAUGACACACUACUUAAUAACUCCAAAAACAGAAUAAACACACUCACUUUUUUCAUAUAUAUGUAAUUUACAAAUGGAUACAUGUAGUAUACAAGUAAAACAGCCUUGCCCCUCAAAUAAUAAACAACCCCAUAUGAUGAAAUGAUGCAAAGAUGAGAAAGAAAAGGAAGGGUUACUUACCCUUUCUUUUCUUUCUCAUAAGUGUAUUUAAAAAAAAAAAAAAUUACAAAAAGAGUAUCCUAAUCUCCUAACUGUCUAAAUAAACUAAUGCUGCUAUGUACCUGGCACUGGAAUCUUCAUUGGCUCUCUCCAGCUUUGCAAGCCAGGCCCUUCCUCACAAUACAAAUGACAGCUUGGCUUCAUUUCCACUCGCCUACACACACACACACACACACUCACACAUAUAAUUUAUAAGUAAAAAAAUUUAAUUUUAAAACUUUUGGGGGCCUCCAACUCACACUGUAGUUCCGCCCCUGUUGUCACAGCUGUAUAUCCAAACAUAAAAUAAAUUUGGACAGAUGUAACCAGAAACAAAUAAAUUUUACAAAAUAAAGGAUGAUAUUGUGCUGGAUCAAUCAAAUCAUAUUCAAUUCAAGAAGGCUGCAAAAUAAUGUAUGCUUGCAACAUUAUGUGUGGUUAUCAAAAGAUUCUAUAACUAAUUUUAGUGAGAAAAUUUUGGCAUGGAUCACAUUCAGUUAGACAAGACCAAAAGGCCAGUUCUGGGUUGGAAAUCGGGCCACAGGGCUCCCCCUCUGGUUCCAGUUCAAUUCUGAUUUUGAUCAAAUCCAUUGUUGAAAUCUCUCUAAUUUUUUUUUUUAAUUUUUGAAAAAGAAAAAUAUGGUUCUGGACCGGAGUUGAACUGUCCUGUUCAAGUCCAGUUCAAGUCUAGUUUUGGUUAAUCCAGUUUUGACCGGUUUCAAUUCCGAGUUGAACCGGUCCAGUUCCAGUUCUGAACUGGCCUUUGGCCGGGUCUACAUUCAAUACAACACCGAUACAUCACCAAUUCCCAUCUUCUAUUAAAUUAUCUGCUACAAAAGCAGACCUUGAAAUAAAUCCUAUAAUGUUUAUUUGAAUAUCCCAAAUUUUU
rnacentral:misc_RNA from 1 species